UAGAUAUUAACUGCGUACCUUAUCACUAAAUUAGCAAACACAGAUAAAUAUAUUAGUCUAAUAUUCAUAAACAUUUAGUAGAGUGGAAAUUUGAAUGAGAUUGUGCAGACUGGAGAGACCUCCACAUUGGUCAGGGCGUAAUGUAGUUUCACUUUAUUAUUCUUUAUUAAAGUGGAAUUUUGAUUUAUUUAGAGAGUAAGAGUUAGAGAUUUCACUGUAAUUUAACUUUUUUUUUUUGUAUUUACACUGUAAUUUAACUUUAAGAGACUAUUUUCCACUAUCUAGAAUCUCGAUCGUUUUUUCAAAAAGCAAAUUUCUCUUUCCUUCAAAACAGAUUCAAAAUUCA
rnacentral:lncRNA from 1 species